rnacentral:tRNA from 1 species
ACCGAAAUAGCUCAGUUGGGAGAGCGUUAGACUCGAAAUCAAAAGGUCCCUGGUUCGAUCUCGGGAUUCGGUA